AUUUAUAUAAUAUAAAUAGUAUAUUUAACUUCCAAUUAAAAAGAUUAAUUAAUUUAAUAUAAAUA
rnacentral:tRNA from 1 species